rnacentral:rRNA from 1 species
GAUGAACGCUGGCGGCGUGCCUAAUACAUGCAAGUCGAGCGGACGGAUGCGGCGCUUGCUUGUCUGAUGUUAGGGGCGGGCGUGUGAGUCACACGUGUAUCCCCUCCCUAUAAGACUGGGAUCUCUUCGGGACAGCGGAGCUAAUACGGGAUAAUAUUUUGAACCGCGGGGUUCAAAAGUGAAAGACGGCCUUGCUGUAUCUUCUAGCGGGUUCCGGGCUGGAUUAGCUAGUUGGUACGGUAAAGGCUUACCAAGGCUACGAUGCGUGGGCGAGCUGACGGGCUGAUCGCCCACACUGGAACUGCGACACGCUCCAGACUCCUACGGGAGGCAGCAGUAUGGAAUCUUCCGCAAAGGGCGAAAGCCUUACACAGCGACGCCGCGUGUGUGAUGGAGGUCCCCGGAUCGUAAAGCCCUGUUACUAGUUAUGAACAGAUUUGGAAUUAACCGUACAGUGCUUGACGGUACUUAGUCAGAAAGCCCCGGCUAACUACGUG